GUUCAUAGAAUUCAAAUUUGUUGGCCACUUUUUUUUUAGCUAACAAAUGGAUAUACCUGAAAUAUUGAUAUUUGUAGACAACCCCCAAAUAACUAAUAAUAUAUUAAAAAGGGAUUUUAUUUUGAGAGUGCACACAAAGACAAGUAGACCUGAAUUUGAUAGGAGUGAAUUUUCUGUUUAUCGUCAUUACAACGAUUUCAUUUUAUUAAGGGAAACAUUUAUUCAAAAAUUUCCAUGUUUAAUUUUACCACCAUUAAUGGAAAAUAAUGUGAUUUUGCUUCUCAAUAUGAUACAUGAUGUUAAAGCCUCUGAAUGGAUGAAACAGAGAUUGUACUGUUUAAAUUUUUUCUUAAAGGCUCUUUCAACACAUCCUUUGUUAUACAAAGA